rnacentral:lncRNA from 1 species
AUAAAACAGAACUUUUUAUGUACCAUUGUUGACAGUUUACAGAAACAAGCAAAUAACUAUAAGCCUAUGAAUGAAGAGUGGUUUCUCACAGGAUAGAGAAAGAGUCACAAGAUUCACACUCAAGGCCACAACACAGUGAAUCUUUUACUAGAUAUUAAAGUUUAAAACCACACAGCUUAACAGUCAUGUUGACUUUACCACUAGGUGGCAAUGAUACAGCUGUAUUUCACUGACAAGGUUAAUUUAAAAACUGAGCAAAUACAGAAAUUCCAAUAUUUUUAGUACAUAUUUUCAUUUUAGAAAAAUGAAAAAUACUUUUAUAUACAAUUUAACUUACACCAGAACAUGUAAUUAUCUGAUUCAAUAUGUAUGCUAAUUUCUGACGCUUUCUCUUCCGAGGCAAUUCAUGAAACAAACAAUUUUAAACAGUUGUUGACACAGGUAAGUCUUUUUUAAAAAUCUGAACAUACAUCAUAAAGAGAACAGAAAUUAUGGAAAGCUACAAAUAUUUCUGAAACUUUAGAAUUCACUUUAGAAAGCUUUAGAAAGUCACUACAAAAUGCAAGUGUUUCAGUGAAAAAGUUUAAACAUUUCAAAAAUGACUUUUUUAAAAUUUAGGGCCAAAACUUUUAAAUUACAAAUGAAAUUAAUAUUUAUAUAGGCAAAGUCUUUUCAAUGCCUUGAGUAAACCUACAUUGUUAAACAAGUAUCAAAAUUCUGACAAAUGAAAUACCAUUUUACAAAUGUUAAAAUAAUUGUGAUGAAAUUCCUUAGAAUCUGUCACUUUCCAUAAUUAUUUCAGCUUUCCUCAUAACAGAUCAUAAUUUAUGGCUUAUUAAAAAUAAAAACUCUUUUUCAUUCUUUUCACAUAAAGGAGAAAUUAUCACCAAACUUUUCAAAUUAUAACACUUCAAGUAUAUAGU